CAACGCUGUCAUUUGAAUAGCGGUAAAUACAAAUUCUGAAGUUUCACAAAUGUAAGAAACCCGUGGAUUUGUGUACCUUCAAGGAGUUUUGAGAAGCUUUUUAAUACCAGCUGUUAUACCCGAUACAACUGGAUGACAGGAUCGACAAAGGAAAUGGACCGUCUACAGCAAGGUGACCUUCAGCAUCAGACAGGGGCCCCGCCGGCUCUCACACCAGCCUCCCCCCUUUACAUGCCAUCAUUUAUUAAUGGAAACAGAGGAGCGUUGGGGGCCGUUAAUAUCCGUUAAUGUUAAGAGGCUGCGGAAGGGGAAGAGGUUCCUCCCUCUGAG